CACAGAUGACGGUGUCCACCGCGCACGCGCACGCCCCUCGGCCGCGAGCACGAGCGAGGCGCCCACACCCGCCGCCCCGCGGACGGACCCGAACACACGACGCUCAGGGCGGGAACCAGACACGGGAGGCCACGCGGGUGUGAGUCCGCGUGCGUGACGCGUCCGGAACAGGCUCCUCCACGGACGAGAAGGACCUCUGAAUGGACUAACGUUGCACGUGCAAAAAGACGUAGAUCCUGGGGCGCCUGCGUGGCUCAGUCGGUUCAGCAUCCGACUUGGGCUCAGAUCAGAGCAUCAUGAGAUCGCUGUGCAUUGCACCAAAAAAAGCAGGAACAACAGAGAUGCCAGCCGGAACCAUCUCCUAGCCCCUUCCAGCCCUGACCUCAGCCCUAACCGGACACCAGCCAGCACCCACAGCGUGAGCCCAGGAGGACCAGGAUGGUGAUGCUCUGGUCACUGCCGCAGCCCCAGAGCCCAGCACAGGGCCUGCAAGUGGACGAGGAAACCGUCUAUUGCAUUGACUGUCUGACCCUUUGCAGGGAAAGUGUGUCGACUCCUGCCUGGGCCACCGUCUCCACGGAAAGCUACUUUGGAAUCUCCAGGAGACUGUGCAGAGGGACAGAGGAGGUAGAAACGGUCAGCAGAACUCCCGGACUGCUUCAACAGCAGCCAAGGGAGGGGGAGCAGGGACCACCUCGGGCCACAAGCCUCUUUCCAGCUAGCAUCUGUGUGCUGGGGGCCAUCGGGACAGCAUCUGGAGGCCGUGUGGCAGCAGCGCCUGUGCUGUGAUUCCGUGUCUGUGCCACAUCCAGACAAGCAAAUCCGGAGGCUCAGAGAGUCCACAGGUGCCAGCAGCUAGGCCAGGGGAGAGGAUGGUGGCUAACGGGGACAGGUUUCUCUAGGGUGAUGGAAUGUUCUGGAACCAGAUAAUGGUGAUGGUUGCACAAUCUUGUGAAUGUACUAAAUACUAUUAA